ACGGCGUGGUAUAGUGGCUGUGCAGCAGUCUCCAAAACUGCCUUAUGUAGGUUCGAUUCCUACCCGCCGUGCCA
rnacentral:tRNA from 1 species